rnacentral:rRNA from 1 species
UGGUGGAGUGAUUUGUCUGGUUAAUUCCGAUAACGAACGAGACCUCUGUGGGUGACUAGGGGCGCGUACGUGAGUAUGCGGCUCCUUCUCACUCAGACUGGCUGUGUUUAGCAGCCGGAAGUGGGAGGCAAUAACA